GCCUUCGUGGUGUAAUGGUCAGCACACUGAGCCGGUAUUUCAGUGGUCCGCGGUUCGAUUCCCGGAGAAGGCG
rfam:Stegodyphus mimosarum contig37099, whole genome shotgun sequence.